rnacentral:lncRNA from 1 species
AGAUUAUGGAAUUCUGCAGGAAGGGUUAAAUUGUUACCAAGAAACAUUUGGGUCUCGUGGUCUCUCUCUGGAGGUACCUGGAGAGUGUGGCUGCUUUUCCCUAGUGGCUGAUUCCAUCCUUGUUCCUGUCCUGCUUGCUGUCUUGUGUGCUCUUUCAUCGGAGUAGAACCUGGUGAUUCUGACCAACUGACAGCAGAGAGAUUGUGGAUCCAGGACCUUCCCUGGGCCCUAUCAGGUUUACACAGAGCAGUACCCUAAUACCUGGGGGGUUAGUUGUAGCUUAUCAAGAACAGGGACUGGGAUUUUUAGAAAGAGGGGAGAGGAUUAGUGCAGAAAAACCAUUCUGAAGAAUCCCAGUGAAGAGACAUCAGAUCCUUGGGUAUCAGUUAGAAAAUUAGCUAUCCCAAACCCUUCUAGUCUAUUCUCCUUAAUUAAAUUUAGUUUCCCAUUUUACUGAGUGGUCUGUGUGUGAUCUCAGACCAGGCUGUGCCCUGGUCAGAGUGUCUGUUAGCCUUUCAACCCACACAGUCAGCCUACUGACACUGGCCCAAUUGAAUCCAUUCCCUCCCCCCAACCCUCUCCCUUUUUACAGAACCUAUACUCAGGGUCAACUCUAAGAUAGCAGUGUGGAUAUAUUGUGGCGAGAAAGAUCUGCUCAUCAGAAUAUACCAAGGUCUCUAUUCAGAUGUGUGGACAACUUGUAUCGACGAAAGACUUACGGUCAUUGUGGAGAAAAAUAUUUUUCGAAAUGGUACAAUUCUGCAACCUAACCAAGUGAUUCUGGGAAAUGGCUGUCAAGUAACUUCAUCUUCUCCAUAUCGAUUAUACUUGUCCUAUAGCCUAUCGCAAUGUGGGAUAGAUGUACAGAUAACACCCGACAUGAUUUAUAUCCGCAGUGUUUUGUACUUUUUAUGUGAAGAACGGUUACCUUGUCCCUGUGUUACUAUACCUCUGGUUUGUCAGAUUGCCAGGACAUUCACUCUAGAAGAAUUCAUUUUUGGCGAUUGGUCUGAUCUAGAUAACAUCUUUGCUCUUUGA